AGAGUUUGAUCCUGGCUCAGGAUGAACGCUGGCGGCGUGCUUAACACAUGCAAGUCGAACGGUGAACACGGAGCUUGCUCUGUGGGAUCAGUGGCGAACGGGUGAGUAACACGUGAGCAACCUGCCCCUGACUCUGGGAUAAGCGCUGGAAACGGCGUCUAAUACUGGAUACGAACCAUGAAGGCAUCUUCAGUGGUUGGAAAGAUUUAUUGGUUGGGGAUGGGCUCGCGGCCUAUCAGCUUGUUGGUGAGGUAAUGGCUCACCAAGGCGUCGACGGGUAGCCGGCCUGAGAGGGUGACCGGCCACACUGGGACUGAGACACGGCCCAGACUCCUACGGGAGGCAGCAGUGGGGAAUAUUGCACAAUGGGCGCAAGCCUGAUGCAGCAACGCCGCGUGAGGGAUGACGGCCUUCGGGUUGUAAACCUCUUUUAGCAGGGAAGAAGCGAAAGUGACGGUACCUGCAGAAAAAGCGCCGGCUAACUACGUGCCAGCAGCCGCGGUAAUACGUAGGGCGCAAGCGUUAUCCGGAAUUAUUGGGCGUAAAGAGCUCGUAGGCGGUUUGUCGCGUCUGCUGUGAAAUCCGGAGGCUCAACCUCCGGCCUGCAGUGGGUACGGGCAGACUAGAGUGCGGUAGGGGAGAUUGGAAUUCCUGGUGUAGCGGUGGAAUGCGCAGAUAUCAGGAGGAACACCGAUGGCGAAGGCAGNUU
rnacentral:rRNA from 1 species